GAUGAACGCUAGCUACAGGCUUAACACAUGCAAGUCGAGGGACCGGCGCACGGGUGAGUUACACGUACCCCAUCUGUCUUUUACCCGGGGAUAGCCUUUCGAACGAAAGAUCAAUACCCUAUGUACAGGAUGGGGAUCCGUUCCAUUAGGUGGUUGGUGAGGUUACGGUUCACCAAGCCUUCGAUGGUUAGGGGUUCUGAGAGGAAGGUCCCCCGCAUGAGAACGGAGACACGGACCAAAAUGCGACGGGAGGCAGCAGUGAGGAAUAUUGGGCGAUGGGCGUUAGCCUGAACCAGCCAAGUAGCGGGAAGGAUGAAGGCUUAUGAGUCGUAAACUUCUUUUAUAUAAGAAUAUGUAUUAUAUGAAUAAGGAUCGGCUAACUCCGUGCCAGCAGCCGCGGUAAUAC
rnacentral:rRNA from 1 species